UUGGCCUCUUCGAAGAUCCCUAGACUUUGGCAAAUGCCUUGUGGUCUAAGGAUUCAAAGCGAAGCCUAGAUUGAAUGUACUUACCGUUAGGAAAUAAAAUUAAGCGGUAAUUCACUGGAUUGGAGUAAACUCCAUAAUAGAACGCGAAGUGUGUAUGAAAUGCAUGCUUUUUCCUUGUUCAGUGAUACAUCU
rnacentral:snoRNA from 1 species